rnacentral:rRNA from 1 species
GUGGGGAAUCUUGCGCAAUGGGCGAAAGCCUGACGCAGCCAUGCCGCGUGAAUGAUGAAGGUCUUAGGAUUGUAAAAUUCUUUCACCGGGGACGAUAAUGACGGUACCCGGAGAAGAAGCUCCGGCUAACUUCGUGCCAGCAGCCGCGGUAAUACGAAGGGGGCUAGCGUUGCUCGGAAUUACUGGGCGUAAAGGGCGCGUAGGCGGACAGCUUAGUCAGAGGUAAAAGCCCAGGGCUCAACCUUGGAAUUGCCUUUGAUACUGGCUGUCUUGAGUACGGGAGAGGUGAGUGGAACUCCGAGUGUAGAGGUGAAAUUCGUAGAUAUUCGGAAGAACACCAGUGGCGAAGGCGACUCACUGGCCCGUUACUGACGCUGAGGCGCGAAAGCGUGGGGAGCAAACAGGAUUAGAAACCCGUGUAGUCC